rnacentral:rRNA from 1 species
AUUGAACGCUGGCGGCAGGCCUAACACAUGCAAGUCGAGCGGAUGAGUGGAGCUUGCUCCAUGAUUCAGCGGCGGACGGGUGAGUAAUGCCUAGGAAUCUGCCUGGUAGUGGGGGACAACGUUUCGAAAGGAACGCUAAUACCGCAUACGUCCUACGGGAGAAAGCAGGGGACCUUCGGGCCUUGCGCUAUCAGAUGAGCCUAGGUCGGAUUAGCUAGUAGGUGAGGUAAUGGCUCACCUAGGCGACGAUCCGUAACUGGUCUGAGAGGAUGAUCAGCCACACUGGAACUGAGACACGGUCCAGACUCCUACGGGAGGCAGCAGUGGGGAAUAUUGGGCAAUGGGCGAAAGCCUGAUCCAGCCAUGCCGCGUGUGUGAAGAAGGUCUUCGGAUUGUAAAGCACUUUAAGUUGGGAGGAAGGGCAGUAAGUUAAUACCUUGCUGUUUUGACGUUACCAACAGAAUAAGCACCGGCUAACUUCGUGCCAGCAGCCGCCGUAAAAC